UUUCUCACUCUCUUCCCGCCUUUUUAUCUCCUACACUUACUUUGUGGCAUUCAAAACUCUCACCCAGACGACUCCCAUUCACGCCUUUCGAAGACAUGAAAUGAAAAUGGAGAUUAGAGCAAAGCACACCACAAGCUAGGGUUUUUUUUGGGAAACCACCUGCGAUUGACACUUGGGAUUUGUCUUUUUGAGAGGAACUAUUAACCUAGAUCUCAAAAGAGUAAAGUGGAGCAGAGCGGAAGCUCCAUUCCUUUUGAUUUCGAAGAAAAAUAGUGGCAUCAUCUCCACUAGAUCUCAAAAGAAUUCCAUUUUUGCUAUUGAGGCACUAUUAAUCUCUCCCUCAAAUCAUCCAUAUUGCUAAUUUGUGGAUUUUGGAAUCAAAUACAACAUGGAAAAUGGCGGGUCAGCUCCGGAAGCUAUAACGAACCAGAUUUAUGAGAACACAAAAACAAUAAAGGAAUGCUUCAUUGUAGAAGACCUUCCAGAUGUAUUCCUAUAAGCUUGACAUCAAGUCUACCCUUUGAGUAUCAUAACUGUGUUUUCUUUGAUCAUGUUAUUAUUAUUACCAUUUUCAAUACUUUGUUUAGGUGGAUAAUUCUACCAUAGGUGUGACAAGCUUUGGGGGGCCUGAAGGAGAAUUUGACAUUGAUGUUUUCGAUUCAACUAGUGAUUAUGUGAAACUGAUGAAGUAAGCAAUCUUUUCUUUUUCUUUUUUUUUUUUCAAUUUUUUCAAGGAAUGAACAAAGUUCUAAAUUUCUAUUAAUUUCAUGCUUCAUUGUUCUGAACUUGAUUAAACAUGGUAGUGAUAUAUGGUCAUAUAAUGAUCACUGCCAAAUCCUAUGUCAUUAUUUUAUACAUUGAUGUUGAUGCAGCUGAACCUUUUCCUCUCAUUGUAAAAGAUUACAUUGCAUCUUGUAUCCAUGGAUCAAUCCUCCAGGUUAAGGGAGUUGUAGCUGCUGGAACUUUUACAUAAUUUAUAUGCUCAAUCAUAUAUGAGUGUAAUGAUAUUUACACAUACUUACGAGUUUAAUCAUAUUUACACAUUUAUAAGCAUGCAGCAAAAUGAAAAGAAUUUGCAGUCUAGUAUGCCACUCUAAUGCAUGAGGCUGAAGUGAUUUCCCUUCUGACAAGCCGGCAUAGGAACUGAUAGACAGCAGGACUUAGCCUCCUUAUCCGUUGAAGGGAAUUUUGUCAAUUCAAUUAGAUGGAGUAAAGUGAUCUAAGAUUAUUCUUUUGUUGGAGAAAAUGGCUGAUAACAUGUGAAGGUUUACCCUGUAUGAAAUAUUCUAGGAUAUGCUGAGUUUUGUAUUUGCUUGAAGUGAGAUCCAGUUAAUUUCUGAUUGGACAAGAUAUGUUUCGACUUUUAUCUCAUGGCUAGAAGUAUUGUAUAAAUAUGAUUCUUAGGGUCCGUUUGGUUCUGACUUCUAACUUUUAAGCUAGCAAUAUAGUGUUGUUUUGUUCUCUUUAAAACAUGGGAUGCGAGACAACAAGAGUAGCUAUUAUUAAUCCAUUCCCUGUAUAGUGAUUGCUUGGGCUAUAACUGUAUGAAUGCAAUUCCUUUCUUGUCUUCAUGUUGUUCAUGCAUAAGAGAAGAGGUGAGAAACAUAUUCAUGCCCAUAAGAUGUGAAUGAUGCAACUUUUCUUUUCUUGUAUUUUUUAUCAACUAGAUGAUAAUUUAUUGAAAACGAUUAGCAAGAAGAGGCAAAAUUAUGGUAAUUUGCCUUUCCUCCCAUCACUGCAUAGCAGAGACGAUGGAUAGGCCUUAAAAUGCACCAAAACAAUAGAACCAAAUUUCUUUGCUUCUAUGAAUCUAAGUAAUGAGCAAAUCUAUUAUAGUAAUUAAAUAGUUAUAAGGCUCCCAAAGACAGUGGUUUUGGUAAUUAUGUUUGAAAGGCAUAGAUAAAUUACACAUUUACGCCUUCUUUUGAGCUUUGACCAAAUGGAGACCUAGGGUUCAGGUUCCCUUGAAAAUGGAUAGCAUAGAAGUACCACAUAAUGGAUCACUUAAAUGUUAAUCUCAUGAUACAAUCUGUUUAUCAGAUAUGUCAUUCACUUCAGCCAGUAUUCCACCAUUUUCAACAGGCGUCUCCUCCAUCCUUCUUUACUUCUUCAUUCUCUUGACAUAUGAUUAACYGACUCCCUUUUCUUUUUGCAGCAAUAAAAAUUAAAAGGGGGAUUAUCCCUGUGUAUCAUUUUUAUUCGACUUGAAUGCUUGUAGGUACAUUAUGGUUUUUUUCCAUGAAGCAUUAUGAUUCAUUUCCAUCAUUCCUGCUAGGAGAUGGAACUGUUGCAGUUUGAAACUAUUAUGGCCAUGAAAACAUGUUAUGGUUCUUUCCCAUGAAAACAGUUUGUUUCUUUUACAUGAAAACAUUUCGAAAGUCCCUGAACCAUAUGUGUACUCACAGCCAUGAAUUUGCUUUUGAAUACUCAAUUUCAUUAUCCUUUUACUUUGUUCACAUAAACCCUGCUACCUAUUUUGUUCCAUGUAGGGCCAUAUAAUUGAAACCUUUUCCCUGUUUCAUAAUUUCCUGCAUUUUUAUCUCAUUAUUUACAUGGCUGUAUGUUUAAUUACUAAGCUGGUGCAUGUGCAAAAGGAGUAAAAAAGCAUAUGUUUAAUUAAAGAUGGUGUGCAAAAGGAGCAGCAAACUUAAUAGGCUCUGUGACAGAAAUAUCCACUAUCACUUCGUUGCUGAGAAAGUAGUCUGUAGUUUAAGUGCUGUGUGCAGCAGGUAAGUGCAUAUCCACUAAUUUGUGAUUCUUGCAUGGUAACGAUGGUGUUGCAUGUUUUGAUGUUUCAGUUGGGUGGGCCAUCAUGGACAGUACAGCUGGGCAGAAGAGAUGCGACCACGGCAAGUCUAAGUGCUGCCAAUAGCGACAUCCCUGCUCCAACCUUGGAUCUUGGUGGCCUUAUAUCUGCUUUCUCAAAAAAGGGUCUUACUGCCAAGGAAAUGGUCGCUCUUUCAGGAGCUCACACCAUCGGGCAAGCUAGGUGCACAAGUUUCAGGCUCGCAUCUACAGCAAGACUAAUAUAAAUUCUUCCUUGGCGACAUCAUUGAAGUCCAACUGUCCGAGUACUGGUGGAGACAACAAUCUCUCUCCCUUUGACGCUAAAAGCCCUACAGCUUUUGAUAAUGCUUAUUUCAAGAGUUUGGUGAACAACAAUGGACUUUUACACUCGGAUCAGUGGAAUUCCAUUAUUUUUGUUGUAUCGAUUCUUUAGUGGACAUGCAUGGCAUUGUAUAUUUCUGCUGUUCUUGAACUUAUGGCUACCUCGCUAGGUAACAUUGUUCUCUAAUGUUUUGUUUCAAUUCAAUGAAGACAAACGCAAGGCAGGAAAGGACGACAUGAUGCAGCAACCACCCGCCAAGAAAGUGGCAACAGAUGGACCAAUGGGCAUUGUACCUCCUAACUCCUUGCCGGCAAACAUGCAAGGGACCGUUGAUGGAUUUCCAAAUGCUUCAGGGCCAUCCAAUUUGGGCCCAUCAUCAUCUGGACAAGUCACAAACGAUAGCAUUUCAAGGAGCAGCGGUAAGAGGGAGGAUGAUGGUCGAGCAACCAAGAUGUCAACUAUCCUCAGUCAGGCUUGGAAGGAGGAUGUGGAUGUUGGACAUCUGCUGGCUUCUCUUUUUGAGCUAUUUGGCGGGAACAUGUUCUCCUUCACUCCUAGACCUGAGAUGUCUUUCUUCUUGUGAUCAAAUAAAUAUGGGUUGGAUUUUUGUAAAUGAUCAGUUAAA